UACGAAAGGGGGCUAGCGUUGUUCGGAAUUACUGGGCCGGUAAAGCUGCGGUACGGUAGGCGGAGCAUUUAAGUACAGGGGUGAAAUCCCAGGGCUCAACCCUGGAACUGCCCGUUUGAUACAUGGAUGGUCUGGAGUUCGGGGAGAGGUGAGUGGAAUUCCGAGUGUAGAGGUGAAAUUCGUAGAUAUUCGGAGGACACCAGAAGCGAAGGCGGCUCACUGGCCCGAUACUGACGCUGAGGCGCGAAAGCGAGGGGAGCAAACAGGG
rnacentral:rRNA from 1 species